rnacentral:lncRNA from 1 species
GCCUGGGGACCAAGAAAAUUGGUGGCUCCACCUCAGCUAUUUCACCCAAGAGCUGAGAGGAAUCAUAUCAGCUUUGCUUAUGUGCAGGUGCAGGAAUUCUCUAAAUGGCUUUUUUCUUAUCUGCAAAGGAAAUGGGAAGAUAGAGCUGUACCAGGCUUUUCCCUGAGGAUGUUUGUUGCAGGGCAUGAGAGAUUGUAUCCAAAGCUUCUUCCAACUGAAAUCUUUCCUAGACAGCUAUAAUCCUACUCUUCUAUGGCUGAACUGGACGGUUGUAAUCUUAUUCUUCUAUGGCUGAUCCUUAGAACUGUAUGAAAAAAAUAAUGGUUAUUAGCCUCAUGGUAAUCAUUUGUUUUCCUUGGCAUCUUGCAGAUAUUAUUUUUGGCUGAAUUUUAAAUUGUGAUCACAUUUUGGCAAGAUAAGAUUACUUGAUUGCAGUCUAUUUAAUAAGCUACCGGAGACAAUUUUACUCCUUCAGCUAAUUUCAUUAUUGCAUGAAUUAUUUAAUAGAAGCUGUAUCUUCUGUUGAUUUACAAUAAUAAUUGAACUGUAUUGACAUUUUCUGAUUCUUAAAUGCUCUGUCUUGUUGCUCAAUGUUCUUUGGAGAUGGCAUAUUUGUAUGGAACAUACCAUGUAAAUCUAUGUGCAGAUAUACGUGAUUGUUACUUUCAGAUCUUUUCAGCCUGAGAUUGAGGUUAUGACAGAACUAUUUCUAUGUUCAGGGAACUUUGAUCAUUCCUUCACCAAGCUCAAAGAGUAUUUUUUUCUUAAUGCUUUUAUCUGUUCUUGAAAGUUUUGAAACCCUUGUGUUGGAGAAGUAUGUGAUCUUUUCACAUUUUGGAGGGGGAUUUCUGUGCGCUAUACUGCCACCAGAAUGACAUAAAUGUUUUUUGAAAGCGUAAGAUGUGUUUCCACAUUGUGAAGUUUUCUUGCAACAGCUAAAUAGUAAGUACUUUCUAAAGCAGGCAGGUCCAAAAUCUCAGUCAGAUGCUUAGCAAUACCACUUUCAAAAACUAAUAUGAGCUGUUAUGUCAAGGCUUUACAGUGCUGAAAGCC